rnacentral:rRNA from 1 species
UACGGAGGGUGCAAGCAUUAAUCGGAUUUAUUGGGCGUAAAGGGCGCGUAGGCGGGAAUGUUAGUCAGAUGUGAAAGCCCAGGGCUCAACCCUGGAAUAGCAUUUGAAACUGCAUUUCUAGAGGAUAGGCGGAGAAAACAGAAUUCCACGUGUAGCGGUGAAAUGCGUAGAUAUGUGGAAGAAUACCGGUGGCGAAGGCGGUUUUCUAGCUUAGACCUGACGCUGAGGCGCGAAAGCAAGGGGAGCAAACAGG